AUGUUAAUGUUGAAGUUCAACAAGCCCUUCUUCAGGUUAAAUGGUUUACAUUUCUUAAAGAUAAACUCCAUCAAUUUUUAUUUAUUUUUUCCCUUUUGAAUGUCACUUUCUCCCUGGUGAUAUUUAUUCAUAUUAUGUUGAUGUAUGGAACUUGAAGAUGGAUGGGAAAACCGAUGAUGAAAUCUGAUUGGAAGAAAGAUGGGAAAAUGGCUGGUGAUUGGAAUCACACUUCUGGUAAAUGGAAUAGAGGCCCCAGUGACAAAGAAGUCAUAGAUUUCUUCUAGGGAUCUUGAAGUGCAUUAUCGGUUGCCUGGUGAUGAUUUCAACUGUCAAUUCAAUGCGGGAAUCCAAACCACUGAAGAUUAUAGGUUCUAUGCCAUUUCGGCAGAGUUCCUUGAGUUCAGUAACAAGGACAAGACUCUGGUUUUUCAAUUCUAGGUAAAACAUGAGUAGAAGCUUGACUGUGGUGGUUGCUACAUGAAGUUGCUUAGCGGUGCAGUUGAUCAAAAGAAUUUUGGUGGUGAGACCCCUUACAGGGGUACGAUGACAUUCCCAAAGAGAUACACAAUGCUGAUGCCAAAAAAGCCAGAAGACUGGGAUGAUGAAGAAGAUGGUGAAUGGACAGCUCCAACCAUUCCAAAUCCUGAAUAUAAGGGUCCGUGGAACCCAAAGGUUUGUGAACUAGUAAUGCCAAUCCAGAUAAAAAUUGAGUUUUAGAUACCACGAUUUUGAAUUUUCUAUUUCAUCCAUUAACAACAAAUUAAAAUCCCCAACUACAAGAGAAAAUGGAAGGCUCUGAUGAUUGACAAUCCAGGUUCAUGCAGAUUUUACAUUUUUUUAUUAAAUUGUCCCAGGUUCUUACUCCCAAUUUUCUUAUUUUAUAUAUUUUUCUAACCUAGUAUGAUAUCCACAGAUUUCAAGGAUGAUCCUGAUAUUUAUGUUUACCCCAAUUUGAAAUACGUGGGUGGACCUGCUUCUGAGUCUAUGUAGGAUUUCAAUAGUUAUACUUGAGCCCCUUUGUUAUGUCUCACAGCCACUCAGAACCUCGUUCAAAGUUUUACAUAUCAAAUGGUCUUAAGCCCUCUCUUGUCUUUUUUAGAUGGUAGGAUUACAUAUCAUUUGAGGCCGGAUUUAAAUGUCUACAACAAAUGGACUUGAGUCCAUGACUUGUGCUAUAAUAUGGGGUGUUUACAUAUUGGAUCAAGUCAUGUGCAGGUUGUUUACAAUCUAGAUUGUCCAGCUCAACAGCAAACUUCCUAAAGGUCAUUCCAUCUGUUUUCUUUUCAUUUUCUUUUUUAAAACC